UGGGGAAUAUUGGACAAUGGGCGCAAGCCUGAUCCAGCCAUGCCGCGUGAGUGACGAAGGCCUUAGGGUUGUAAAGCUCUUUUGGCGGGGAAGAUAAUGACGGUACCCGCAGAAUAAGCUCCGGCUAACUUCGUGCCAGCAGCCGCGGUAAUACGAAGGGAGCUAGCGUUGUUCGGAAUCACUGGGCGUAAAGCGCACGUAGGUGGAUAGUUAAGUGAGGGGUGAAAGCCCGAGGCUCAACCUCGGAAUUGCCUCUCAUACUGGCUGUCUCGAGUCCGAGAGAGGUGGGUGGAAUUCCUAGUGUAGAGGUGAAAUUCGUAGAUAUUAGGAAGAACACCGGUGGCGAAGGCGGCCCACUGGCUCGGUACUGACGCUGAGGUGCGAAAGCGUGGGGAGCAAACAGGAUUAGAUACCCUCGUAGUCCCUGAGCGGGCUGGCAAGGCGCAU
rnacentral:rRNA from 1 species